rnacentral:rRNA from 1 species
CCUACGGGUGGCAGCAGUGAGGAAUAUUGGUCAAUGGACGAGAGUCUGAACCAGCCAAGUAGCGUGAAGGAUGACUGCCCUAUGGGUUGUAAACUUCUUUUAUAAAGGAAUAAAACGAGUCACGUGUGCCUUUUUGCAUGUACUUUAUGAAUAAGAAUCGGCUAACUCCGUUCCAUCAGCCGCGGUAAUACGGAGGGUCCGAGCGUUAUCCGGAUUUAUUGGGUUUAAAGGGAGCGUAGAUGGGUUGUUAAGUCAGUUGUGAAAGUUUGGGGCUCAACCGUAAAAUUGCAAUUGAUACUGGCAGUCUUGAGUACAGUUGAGGUAGGCGGAAUUCGUGGUGUAGCGGUGAAAUGCUUAGAGAUCACGAAGAACCCCGAUUGCGAAGGCAGCUUACUAAACGAUGACUGACAUUGAUGCGCGAAAGUGUGGGGAUCAAACAGGAUUAGAUACCCGUGUAGUC